AAAAAAAAAAAAAAAAAAAGUAACCAUUCUCUUCUGUACCUUAUUUAGAAAAAUAAGCUUACAGUAGAAGAAGCAAAAAAGAAAAUACUCCGAUCAAUCUGUUCUAAAUAUUAAUUCUAAUAAACAUUUUUUUGUCAUGAAAUAGUAUAUAAUAUAUAAGUAUGCUGAAUACAAUCAUUUUGUAAAUGAAGCCAAAUUACCUUGUACUCUGGAUUAUCCCGU
rnacentral:misc_RNA from 1 species